rnacentral:rRNA from 1 species
CCUACGGGUGGCUGCAGUGGGGAAUAUUGCACAAUGGGCGAAAGCCUGAUGCAGCAACGUCGCGUGAGCGAUGAAGGCCCUCGGGUCGUAAAGCUCUGUCCUCAAGGAAGAUAAUGACGGUACUUGAGGAGGAAGCCCCGGCUAACUACGUGCCAGCAGCCGCGGUAAUACGUAGGGGGCUAGCGUUAUCCGGAAUUACUGGGCGUAAAGGGUGCGUAGGUGGAUUCUUAAGUCAGAGGUGAAAGGCUACGGCUCAACCGUAGUAAGCCUUUGAAACUGGGGAACUUGAGUGCAGGAGAGGAGAGUGGAAUUCCUGGUGUAGCGGUGAAAUGCGUAGAUAUUAGGAGGAACACCGGUUGCGAAGGCAGCUCACUGGAGUGCAACUGACGCUGAGGCUCGAAAGUGUGGGUAUCAAACAGGAUUAGAUACCCUUGUAGUC